AUAAACAAAAUACAAAAUCAACAAAGAAAUGUGAUGGACCACCAACAACAACUCCAACACCCAUUUUCUUCUACUCUCUCUUUCCUCUCUUCUUUCUCUUCUCUCUUUUAUUCUCUCUCUUCUCUUUCGU
rnacentral:ribozyme from 13 species